ensembl:lncRNA
UCUGCAUUAAUUAUGUUUUAUUAAUAAUGUUUUAUUGGAGAAGGAAAUGGCAACCUACUCCAGUGUUCUUGCCUGGAGAAUCCCAGGGACAGGGUAGCCUGGUGGGCUGCUGGCUAUGGGGUCAUACAUAGUUGGACCCAACUGAAGCAACUUAGCAGCAGCGGCAGUACUUAACAACAUAGCAGAUGAUGUUAACAAUUUGAAGGGUAUUUAAAAACAUUUUUUAUUUGAGCAAUUGAAACUCUUAGAUAAAAAUUUUAGAACAUCACUUGCAAUAAAUCAUGUUUUCAUUUCAGAAAUGAAAAUCAUUUAUGUUAUCUUAAUUCUUAGGCAAUAUCAAAAGAUGUUUCAGGACAUUUUUAAGAAACAUUUCAAGCUAUAGUUCAUUAUCAUGUUCUUCCACAGUUUUAGAAUAAGAACACUUACAGCAUUUAAAAGGAAUGUUAAGAAGCUUAUCAACAUUUUGCUAACACUCACUCUGGGUGUUUUUUCUCCCUCCAAUUCACAACUGUAAACUCAAACACAAUAACUUCACAGAAAGGUAUAAAUGUUACAUAUGUAUAGUUUGAUAAAUUUUCAUAAACUGCACACACACACAAUUAGCACCCAAAUAAAGAAAUAGAUCAUAGAACAUACCAGCAUCCCAAAAGUCUCAAUUCCCAUACCUUCUUUCACUUAUUUCCUUCCCACUUAAGAGUAACCAACAUCCUGUUUUUGUACUUCAUAUAAACAGAAUCACAAAGUAUGUAUUCUUUCGUGCCUGGUUUCUUUUGUUAAACAUUAGCUCUUUGAGAUAAUCCAUAAUCUUAUACAUGGUUAUACAUCUUUCAAUAUUAUUGUAUUCUAUUGUGUGACAACACCAUAAUUUGUAAAUCCGGGUUGUUUCCAAGUAUGCAUAUUAGUAAUGUCACUGCUGUGGACACUCAUUGCUUAGACCAAUAUGGUAGGUACUAGCCAAAUGCAGCUCUCUAAGUCAGCUCCUCAGUUGCACUAGGCAUGUUUCAAAUGGUCAGUAGCUACAUGGCUAGCAGCUACUGUAUGGAUAGCAUAGAAUAGAGCACUUUCAUCACUGCAGCAAGCUCCACUGCAUAGUGCUGAAUCCACAAGUUGGUGAACAUAUGAAAAUGCUGGGUCAGAAGCUAUGCGUAUGUUCCACAUUAACAGAAGAUAGCAUCAAAUAGUUUUAGAGUGUCCAUUACUAUUUUGUUACAAGUUCUUCUAUUUUAAAAUAUUAAAACACUGUAUUUACUUUUCACCUAAUAAUCAUAAUACACUAAAUAGGAAAACCACAACAGCCACUGUUAGAACAUGGAAUGAUUCACAGGUAAUGAACAAGGCAGGAACACUUUUUACCGUAACACAGUUCAAGUUAACAGAUGUUCCAAAUGUUUCUCAGAUGACAUUACAACAAAAGGUCAACGGCUUUUAUCAACGGCUGUCAAAAAAGAACUAAUGGACUUAUAUCUAUUAAUUUCAGUGCUAUUGCAGUUAGAGUAAAAUCAUCUACCACUGGUAUAAAUUUCAGUAUUUUAACUGAGACAGCCAUGUCUAUCAGCUAAACAUCACAUCUCCUCAUAAUCCCAACCAAUUUACACCAAAUAUUACCAAUCAUCUCAAGUUUUGGCAAACGGAGGCCAAUGUUGUUUAAACUGUAUUUAACCACAAAUGAAUUUGUGCACCUGUACAUAUAUAUGUUGGUCUUUAUCAUUUCUCCCCUCUUGAGUUGCUCAUUUAUAUUCCUUGUCCAUUUUAAACUAUCAAUUUAUAAAUUCUUUUACUACUGCACAUUAUAUACUAUGAUUGCCCAUGUAUGUCCUUUGCUCACUCAAAGUUACUAAUUUCCAAAUGUUAUUUUUAUAUUAAGGAAAUUAGCCCUCUGUACACAUAAGUCUUAAAAAUAUUUUCCUCCAAAUAGUAGUUUAUCUUUUUCCUAUAAAAUUGUUUUAAAUGCUAGGUAGUCAAGUUUAAUUUUUUUUAGAUUUUGUGUUUUACGUCAUGUUUAAAAGCCUUACCUUCUCAAAUAGCGUAUGAAAAGUCAAUUUUUCUCCUGCCUAUUUAAAAAAAAACUUGAUGUAUCUGUAAC